AAAAGAAACACAGAGAAAGGGUGCAUAAAGUAAUUCCACCCCAAUUCUGUAGCACUGUCUGCCAGCAGGAAGUUCUAGAGUUGAUAAAGCACACUUUUCUAAAGGCCGGAAGCAUCUGACAACUUAGCUUUAAUGUCAGACACAUGUACUUAUGGUGGAUUUCAGCGGGGAUGAGAAAUGAUCAGUUCAUCAUCUUCUUUACUCGCAUGAAGCUGGCUUUGGAUGGCCUAUAUUUCUGUUCAGCAAAUGUCUUGAAAGGAAGUGGUUAAGCAUGUGUCGCGACAGCUCAAGUUUAAUAGAAACAUUUCUUGUGCGGAAAAUACACAAGAAAUAAUAAAGCUUAAUCAAAUAUAACCAUUCAACAAUAUUCUGUCUUGCAAGCCUCCAAGUUCCAUCCUACAGUUUUAAUUUCCCCCGGAAAUUAAAUUCCCCCAUAUAUAGCUAUAUUAAAAUGAUGGACUGUAAUGUUUCCUCUUUUUUCCAAAAACAUUCACUGGAGACUUCCAUUAAUUCAAUCGAAUGGAAAUGCCACACAAUCAACAGAACAAUCUUACUGGCUAAGAUAAACCUAAGAGAACAUGUAUCAAGGGUUUACAGCAAGAGGACUGGACUGCAAAUAAUGAAGAAUGAUACACUCAACACUGAAGAUGUAAAAGAUGAAGACUCACUCCUCUAUUUUAUGCUUAACUCAAGGUCAUUUGUCUUAUGAUCAAUAGCAUGGUAGCGUAAUAUCUCUAGCAAAAAUUGAUCAGUAUAAAUACGAUCAUCGUAUUCUGUCAGGUGAUCUUUUGUUUUCUCAUCUGAAGACUCAACGGCUGAAACAAAAAGCUAAAUGUACACCACAACAUUUACAUCAUCAGGUAUGUUUACAUUUACUGCGUUUCACAUGGACAGCACAUUCUGCUACACAAAUAACAACAGGCCUUUUUCAGGAAACAUACAGGACAAAUGCUUUCACAUACACUAUUGUCCAGCUGUAAAUGAUGUCACUUCCCUCUUAUGGAUGAGCUGAGAAACAUUUUAAUGGGAAUGACACAGUAACAUUAUUAGAAGAUAAGGAGGAGCACAAGG